UCCGUAGGUGAACCUGCGGAAGGAUCAUUACCUAG
rnacentral:rRNA from 1 species